rnacentral:tRNA from 1 species
UUGGGUAUCGCCAAGCGGUAAGGCACCGGUUUUUUGAUACCGGCAUUCCCUGGUUCGAAUCCAGGUACCCCAGCCA